GUUUUCCCAAAGAUGCCGUUCGUCGGACAAAGUGGAUAGAAGCAAUUUGGCCCCCGCAUAUUCGCCGGGAACCUGCAAAGGAAGCUCAUGUUUGUUCGAAGCAUUUCUUAGAGGAGCAUUUUGAUCGCACGUCCGCGUUCAAAGUCCGCCUACGAGAGCAUGCAGUUCCUACUCUCUUGCUACCUCAUCCAGUACAACAAGGUGAUAGAGCACCUGAUGCAGCAAGCACCGAUUCAUCCUUUGAUUCCCCUCAGCUCAUGCAAGGUUGCGCUGAAGGCUUGCUGCUGCUUGCACAGGUUGCUGCAACUUCUCAUGAAGGCCUCCAAGCUUGCCUCUCCACACCUGCAUCGCCUGACUUAGCUGCAGGCUUCCACGGGCAGUCCACACUCCAACAGGUGCAGAUCACUUUUCCCCUCUCGU